rnacentral:lncRNA from 1 species
UUACAUUCCAGUAGAACACAUCUGUCAAGAACAUACAAGAAGCAUUUACAGCAUGGAGAAACACAGAAUGCACAAUGGUGCACUAGUGCUACUUUUGUUGAUGCUCCUCGGAUGCUUCUCUAUCCAUGCAGAAUGUAAGUGAAAUAAAUAAGAAACGUUGCUUCCAUUGUCUUCCAAAGUCAAUUACUACAAAAAUAGAUGGUAUUUUGCCCACAUCCUUAAAAAAGAUAUUGCUUAGAGCUCUUUCUUUCUUUUAAUAUGAACUAAGUGGUACACUAAUGAGUGUCUAGUUUCAUGACACUGAUUUGUUUUUUGUUAUUUAGGUCAUUUAUUUGCAUGUAUCAUGAACCUUAACAGAUUUGUUUUCGUACAUGAAAAAUAGGUCGAGCGGUCAUGGAUGAAAUGGGUAACCAGAAGCUGUGCAUCCAUUCUGAUUGCAGAGGACUAUAUAGUAAGCCUGACUGCUAUUGUUGUGCUAAGAAAAAAGAUGCUUGCUUUCCAGGAAUGGAUGAGUGU